CACUCUUUUUGUGGAAUUUCCAAGUGGAGAUUUCAGCCGAUUUGAAGUCAAUCGUAGAAAAGGAGAUAUCUUCGUAUAAAAACAAGACAGAAUGAUUUUCAGAAACUGCUUUGUGAUGUGUGCGUUCAACUCACAGAGUUUCAACUUUCUUUUCAUAGAGCAGUUAGGAAACACUCUGUUUGUAAAGUCUACAAGUGGAUAUUCAGACCUCUUUGAGGCCUUCGUUGGAAACGGGAUUUCUUUAUAUUAUGCUAGACAGAAGAAUUCUCAGUAACUUCCUUGUGUUGUGUGUAUUCAACUCACAGAGUUGAACGGUUCUUUACACAGAGCAGAUUUGAGACACUCUUUUUGUGGAAUUUGUAAGUGGAGAUUUCAGCCGCUUUGAGGUCAGUGGUAGAAAAGGAAAUAUCUUCGUAUAAAAACUAGACAGAAUGAUUCUCAGAAACUGCUUUGUGAUGUGUGCGUUCAACUCACAGAGUUUAACCUUCCUUUUCAUAGAGCAGUUAGGAAACACUCUGUUUGUAAAAUCUGCAAUUGGAUAUUCAGACCUCUUUGAGGCCUUCGUUGGAAACGGGUUUUUUUCAUGUAAGGCUAGACAGAAGAAUUCUUAGUAACUUCCUUGUGUUGUGUGUGUUCAACUCACAGAGUUGAACGUUUCUUUAGACAGAGCAGAUUUGAAACACUGUUUUUGUGGAAUUUGCAAGUGGAGAUUUCAAGCGAUUUAAGGUCAAUGGCAGAAAAGGAAAUAUCUUCGUUUCAAAACUAGACAGAAUCAUUCCC
rnacentral:lncRNA from 10 species